ACGCACGCUGGCGGCGUGCUUAACCCCUGCAAGUCGAACGGAAAGGCCCCUUUGGGGGUACUCGAGUGGCGAACGGGUGAGUAACACGUGAGUAACCUGCCCUUGACUUCGGGAUAACUUCAGGAAACUGGGGCUAAUACCGGAUAGGAAUCCUUGCUGCAUGGUGGGGGUUGGAAAGCUUCGGCGGUUUUGGAUGGACUCGCGGCUUAUCAGCUUGUUGGUGGGGUAGUGGCUUACCAAGGCUUUGACGGGUAGCCGGCCUGAGAGGGCGACCGGCCACAUUGGGACUGAGAUACGGCCCAGACUCCUACGGGAGGCAGCAGUGGGGAAUAUUGCACAAUGGGCGGAAGCCUGAUGCAGCAACGCCGCGUGCGGGAUGACGGCCUUCGGGUUGUAAACCGCUUUCAGCAGGGGCGAAGCUUGUGGUGACGGUACCUGCAGAAGAAGCACCGGCUAACUACGUG
rnacentral:rRNA from 1 species